rnacentral:rRNA from 1 species
UACGUAGGGGUGCAAGCGUUAAUCGGAAUUACUGGGCGUAAAGCGUGCGCAGGCGGUUUUGUAAGUCUGUCGUGAAAGCCCCGGGCUCAACCUGGGAAUUGCGAUGGAGACUGCAAGGCUUGAAUCUGGCAGAGGGGGGGUAGAAUUCCACGUGUAGCAGUGAAAUGCGUAGAGAUGUGGAGGAACACCGAUGGCGAAGGCAGCCCCCCUGGGUCAAGAUUGACGCUCAUGCACGAAAGCGUGGGGAGCAAACAGG